rnacentral:rRNA from 1 species
UACCUACAACUGUUGCUUCCGGCGGGCAGGGUCUCCGUGACCCUCCCGGCCUCCCGCCCCCGGGCGGGUCGGCGCCCGCCGGAGGAUAACCAAACUCUGAUUUAACGACGUUUCUUCUGAGUGGUACAAGCAAAUAAUCAAAACUUUUAACAACGGAUCUCUUGGUUCUGGCAUCGAUGAAGAACGCAGCGAAAUGCGAUAAGUAAUGUGAAUUGCAGAAUUCAGUGAAUCAUCGAAUCUUUGAACGCACAUUGCGCCCGCCAGCAUUCUGGCGGGCAUGCCUGUUCGAGCGUCAUUUCAACCCUCAAGCUCUGCUUGGUGUUGGGGCCCUACGGCUGACGUAGGCCCUCAAAGGUAGUGGCGGACCCUCCCGGAGCCUCCUUUGCGUAGUAACUUUACGUCUCGCACUGGGAUCCGGAGGGACUCUUGCCGUAAAACCCCCAAUUUUCCAAAGGUUGACCUCGGAUCA